AUGGCCUCAAGGCGCGCCGCCGAAGCCGCGGCAUCGUCGUGUCUCCUCCGCUCGUUGCUUGCGUCCGCCUCCGCCUCCACCGCCACCCCACCGCGCUUCCGGUCGGCCGCUCGCUCCGCCGCGCGAGACACGCGCCACCUUCUCGACCGGCGCAGUCGACUGCGCGCUGCGUCGCCGCUCCUCGCCCGCAACAACGACACGCCGGCGGCGGCGCUCAUGGCGCGGUGCGCCGUCCGAUCGCUCUCCUCCGACUCCGACCCGAGCACCAAGACCGCCCAAGAUCCCGCACCUUCCAAGACCUCGGAGGAGGAGGACUCCGGAGAGCAGGUCCGUCUCCGGAUCUCGGAGGAGGUGCACCCCACCCAGGUCGGGAAGGACAAGGGCUCGGCUCCGACGGUACAUGGGGACGCCAAGGCGAGGGACGACUACAACAAAGGCGGCGAACCCGAGGACGACGACAAGGCGCCCGACCUCACCAAGUACCUGCAGCUGCAGGCGACGGUAGCCAAGGGCUUCAAUGCCAAGCACGAGGUGGUCGCUCAAGACCCGGAGGCGACGGUGGUCAAGGCGGCCGCGGAGCGCGUUCAAGACCUGGAGCCGACGGUGGUCAAGGCCGACGCGGAGCGCGUUCAAGACCUGAGCCGACCGCGGCCAAGGAGGACGUCGAGGACUCUCAAGACCCCAAGGCGGCGGCCACCGCUCCCGACGGCGCGCCAGAGCACGUCAACCACAAGGGCUCCAACCCCCAGGCGGAGGCGACCGCGGCCAAGGAAGACGUCGAGGCCUCCCAGGGCCCGAAGGCGGCGGCCACCCCUCCCGACGGCGCGCCAGAGCACGUCAACCACAAGGGCUCCAACCCCCAGGCGGAGGCGACCGCGGUCAAGGAAGACGAGGCCUCCCAGGGGCCGAAGGCGGCGGCGACCGCGUUCGUGGCUGCAGCGUUCGUGGCUGCAGCGGCUUUUUUGA
rnacentral:rRNA from 1 species